rnacentral:rRNA from 1 species
GGGCCCGCACAAGCGGUGGAGCAUGUGGUUUAAUUCGAUGAUACGCGAGGAACCUUACCAGGGCUUAAAUGUAAGUUGCAUAAAUCAGAGAUGAUUUUUUCUUCGGACUACUUACAAGGUGCUGCAUGGUUGUCGUCAGCUCGUGCCGUGAGGUGUCAGGUUAAGUCCUAUAACGAGCGCAACCCCUGUCGUUAGUUGCCAUCAAGUAAUGUUGGGUACUCUAGCGAGACUGCCGGUGCAAACCGAGAGGAAGGUGGGGAUGACGUCAAAUCAUCACGGCCCUUACGUCCUGGGCUACACACGUGCUACAAUGGCCGGUACAGAGAGCAGCCACUACGCGAGUAGGAGCGAAUCUUCAAAACCGGUCUCAGUUCGGAUCGCAGUCUGCAACUCGACUGCGUGAAGCUGGAAUCGCUAGUAAUCGG